rnacentral:rRNA from 1 species
CGAGUGAAGAGGGAAAAGCUCAAAUUUUGAAUCUGGUGUCUUUGGCGCCCGAGUUGUAAUCUAGAGAAGUGUUUUCUGCCUCGGACCACACAUAAAUUCCCUGGAAUGGGGUGUCAUAGAGGGUGAGAAUCCCGUUUGUGGUGUGGACUACCUUGGCUCUGUGAUACACUCUCAACGAGUCGAGUUGUUUGGGAAUGCAGCUCAAAAUGGGUGGUAAAUUCCAUCUAAAGCUAAAUAUUGGCGAGAGACCGAUAGCGAACAAGUACCGUGAGGGAAAGAUGAAAAGCACUUUGGAAAGAGAGUGAAACAGUACGUGAAAUUGUUGAAAGGGAAGCGUUUGAAGUCAGUCGCAUUGGUCGGAACUCAGCCUGGCUUCUGCCUGGUGUAUUUUCUGGCAAAUGGGUCAGUGUCAAUUUUGAUCGAGAGAGAAAGACUUGAGGAAUGUGGCUGUCUUCGGGCAGUGUUAUAGCCUCUUGUUGUAUGUCUUGGUUGGGAUUGAGGAACGCAGCACGCCUUUUGGCCGGGGUUCGCGCCCUCGGUACGUGCUUAGGACACUGGCA